CACGGCUUGUAAUUCUGUUGCAGCUCUCGCUCCCAGCUGAUAGGGUGACGUGCAGUUCGCAGGCUCGCAGAUUGGCUUUUUGAUUUGGCUUCUUGCUGCAGUUGUGCAAACCUCGGCGUCUCGCGGCAAUCGGGCUGAGCGCCGCUCUGCUGCGCGGUGCGGGGAGCUCGGACGCGCCGGGGAAGCCCGGCACGUUCAUUGCCAUCUGGGGUACAGCCCAUUUUCUCCCCUCCCUCUUCGACCCUCGUCCAUCUCCAUCCUCCUCCCCCUUCCCUCUCCGUGCCCGGAGCUGAAGACCGAGGCUGGUGGAUUUACCGACGUCUCCCGUCCCCCCACCCCUUUUCCAGAUGCACCUCCCCGCUCACCCUGACAGCUGCACAAGAGAGCCCAGGUUCCGUAGCGAGCACGGCAACUUGGAAUGACAUGCGGAGGAGCAGCCCCGCACACAGGCACGGCGGUGGUACCCACGAGAUGCAGUGAGCUCCGUUAGGAACCGGAAGGAUUUAUCCCAUUGGAGCCUACCCCCCCACCUCUCAAAAACUCAGGAAAGCCACCAGAAGGGGUUCUCGGCCUUUUUGGAUCUACACAGUGGAAGUUGCAUCUUGUGUAUGGCGUGGUUAAGCUUGCAGCCUCUCACCUCGGCCUUCCUCCAUUUUGGGCUGGUUACUUUUGUGCUGUUUUUGCAUGGUUUGCAGGUGGAUGCUGGCCUGACGGGAGACUCAACCAGUUCAGUACAAAACAGCUCGUGUUCAGGAUCUUUUGACUGCAAGGAAGGUGUUAUCCUGCCAAUAUGGUACCCAGAAAACCCAUCCCUUGGGGACAAAAUUGCCCGUGUUAUUGUAUACUUUGUAGCACUGAUCUACAUGUUCCUUGGAGUCUCCAUCAUUGCAGAUCGUUUCAUGGCAUCUAUAGAGGUCAUUACAUCACAAGAGAAAGAAAUCACGAUUAAGAAACCCAAUGGAGAGACCACAACAACAACCAUUCGGAUCUGGAACGAGACUGUUUCCAACCUGACCCUGAUGGCUCUGGGCUCAUCCGCUCCUGAGAUCCUUCUGUCCGUCAUCGAAGUGUGUGGCCAUGGAUUCGUAGCUGGAGACCUGGGGCCAUCUACAAUUGUUGGCAGUGCUGCCUUCAAUAUGUUUAUCAUUAUUGCCAUCUGUGUCUACGUGAUCCCUGAUGGGGAAACCAGAAAGAUAAAACACCUGAGAGUUUUCUUUGUCACAGCUGCAUGGAGCAUCUUUGCUUACAUCUGGUUGUACAUGAUCCUUGCUGUCUUCUCUCCAGGGGUGGUGCAGGUCUGGGAAGGUCUGCUCACGCUUUUCUUCUUUCCACUUUGUGUUCUUCUGGCCUGGAUAGCAGAUAGACGUCUGCUUUUCUAUAAGUAUAUGCACAAAAAGUACCGUACUGACAAGCACAGGGGCAUUAUCAUAGAAUCAGAAGGUGAUCACCCUAAGGGAAUUGAGAUGGAUGGCAAGAUGAUGAACUCCCACUUUCUGGAUGGAAACUUAGUGACUGUGGAGGGGAAAGAGGUAGAUGAAUCUCGCAAAGAGAUGAUCCGGAUCCUUAAGGAUCUGAAGCAAAAACACCCAGAAAAGGAUUUGGACCAGCUGGUAGAAAUGGCCAAUUACUAUGCCUUGUCACAUCAGCAGAAGAGCAGAGCCUUUUAUCGCAUUCAGGCUACCAGAAUGAUGACAGGGGCUGGCAAUAUCCUGAAGAAGCAUGCAGCUGAGCAAGCCAAGAAGAGCACCAGCUUGCACGAGGUGCGGCCGGAUGAGCCUGAGGAAUUCAUCUCCAAAAUUUAUUUUGACCCGUGCUCCUAUCAGUGUCUUGAGAACUGUGGUGCUGUUCUCCUGACGGUGGUGCGGAAAGGAGGGGAUGUGUCCAAGACCAUCUAUGUGGACUAUAAAACUGAGGAUGGCUCUGCCAAUGCUGGUGCUGACUAUGAGUUCACAGAGGGGACUGUCGUCUUGAAAUCAGGGGAGACCCAGAAGGACUUUGCAGUGGGAAUUAUUGAUGACGACAUCUUUGAGGAGGAUGAACAUUUCUUUGUGCGGCUUAGUAACCUCCGUGUGGUGGACAGUGAGGAACCUCCAGAGCUUGGUAACUCCCCAUACCCAAAGGCCAUACUGGCUUCUCCUUGUGUGGCGACAGUGACUAUCCUGGAUGAUGACCAUGCUGGCAUCUUCACGUUUGAGUGUGAUGUUAUACAUGUCAGUGAGAGCAUUGGUGUGAUGGAAGUCAAAGUCCUAAGGACAUCAGGUGCUCGGGGUACAGUCAUAGUGCCAUUUAGGACAGUAGAAGGCUCAGCCAAAGGUGGAGGAGAAGACUUUGAAGACACCUGUGGGGAGCUGGAGUUCAAGAAUGAUGAAACUGUCAAAACAAUUCACAUCAAAGUAAUUGAUGAUGAGGAGUAUGAAAAAAACAAGAGUUUCUUCAUUGAGCUGAUGAGCCCCCGCAUGGUGGAUAUGAGUUUACAGAAAGCUCUGCUGCUCACCCAAGAAGUAGCCGAGAGGAAGCUGACAGUUGAAGAAGAAGAAGCCAAGAGGAUUGCAGAGAUGGGCAAACCAAUACUUGGCGAACACCCCAAACUAGAAGUCAUCAUUGAGGAGUCCUAUGAGUUCAAGAGCACUGUGGACAAACUCAUUAAGAAGACAAACCUAGCUUUGGUUGUAGGGACACAUUCCUGGAGGGACCAGUUUUUGGAGGCCAUCACCGUCAGCGCAGCGGGUGAUGAAGACGAGGAUGAGUCUGGUGAAGAGCGCCUGCCAUCCUGUUUCGACAUCGUGAUGCAUUUCUGACCGUCUUCUGGAAGGUGCUGUUUGCCUGCGUGCCCCCACCGAGUACUGCAAUGGCUGGGCCUGCUUCGUUGUCUCCAUCCUCAUCAUUGGCAUGCUCACAGCUGUCAUAGGUGACCUCGCCUCCCACUUCGGCUGCACCCAUCGGCCUCUAAGGAUUCGGUGACCGCUGUUGUGUUUGUAGCCUUCGGCACCUCUGUACCAGACACGUUUGCCAGCAAAGCUGCAGCCAUCCAGGAUGUGUAUGCCGAUGCCUCCAUCAGCAACGUCACAGGCAGCAACGCGUCAACGUCUUCCUGGGCAUUGGGCUGGCAUGGUCGGUGGCGGCAAUCUACUGGGCAUCGCAGGGCAGGGAGUUCCAAGUGUCAGACCGGCACCCUGGCCUUCUCUGUCACCCUCUUCACCAUCUUCGCCUUCAUCUGCAUCAGUGUUCUCCUCUACCGCCGGCGGCCCCACCUUGGGGGAGAGCUGGGCGGUCCCCGGGGUUGCAAACUGGCCACAACAUUGCUCUUUGUCAGCCUGUGGCUGCUGUACAUCCUCUUUGCCACCCUGGAGGCCUAUUGCUACAUCAAGGGGUUUUAGGCGGCGAAGAGACGAUGCCGCCAAGGGAGGGACCCCCUCCUCCAUUACCUCACCAGACACCGGCCCUAGUUGCACGGAUUCAGCAGGAGGGACGGCUGUCAGCCCACAGCCCUGAUGGCUGGGUGCCGGGAUGGGCAGAUCCAUCACGGGAUGAAAAAGAAAUCCACGAAAACCACCCCAAAAAUGAUGCAAGAGCAAAGAAAGCAACAAUGGCAAGCAUUUAAAUGAACAAAAUGAAGUGAACCCAGCCGCUGACCCCAGUCUAUGUGACUAAGAAGUCUCAGCCAUCUCCCAAGGCCACCUCUCCCACAGGUUUGUUUCCUCUUCUCUGGAGCACCCCUCCACUCCAAGGAGAUGCUGUCUUGUUUUUACUCUUUAGGAACUGCAGAAGUCUGAUAGGAAAUUUAUUAUUAUUUUUUCUUUUGCCUAUUGCUUUUUAGUUUGGGGGGGAAAGAGGGCAGCACAUGGCUUGAUUUUAGUUUAUUUUAUUUUUAUUAUUUUCAAUUUAUUAUUAUUAUUUUUUUUACUACUUAGACAGAAAAAUGUUAAAAGUUUAAAAUCUAAAGCUUCAAGCUGCCGUCAGUGCUGGAAUGGAAGGUGUACUUUUUGAAGCCACAACAGACUCUGACACUGUCAAAGAACUUUUUCUCUCUCACAAGUUUCCUCCCCCGCCUCCAUCCAUUUCUUUCUUUUUUAAGAGCAUCACAGGACUGAUAUAUUUUUAAUACAAACACACACACACACACACACACACACACACAUACACACAUACACACACACACACACCAGUUCAGUGACGAAGGCUGAAGCAUGUAGCAUCUCAAUCACCUGCCUGGGCUAAGACAAAAAAAAAAAAAAAACAGGAGGAAAAAGAAAACCCAACCAACCCUCUAAUAUAAUAUGUAUCAUGUAUAUUUUGACUAUGGUAUUUCUCUUUGUAUAAUUAACUUUGAGCUUGUGUUACUGCAGGAAGAGAAAAUGAUGCUAAUGGGCGAGAGGUAGCAAAAUGAACAGCCAAGGGGCCUGGGAGGUGGUGUGGGCUGCCCAAGAUGGCAGUGGUGGCAUAGCCCUGUCCUGUAGGUCGCACUGGAUGUGGGAAUGAAUCCCACUGAGUAACACGCUGCUCUGGUCUACCAAAGUGAGCAGAAAGGCUCUGCAUGUCCUCUUUCAGCAGUGGCCUUUCAGGUUGAGGUUAGGUUUAAAUAUGCAGGUUGGUGAAGAGGAGGUGGGGGGGUCUCUGUCCCACUCAUCACGCCCCCUCAUGCUCCAUGGAAAGGGCCGGGCUUCAAAGUGCCACCCACCUGCAGUCCUGUGCCAACCCCAGCACAUCCCAGGAGAGCAGGCAGGCAGACAGGCACACCCUUUUCAUCUGAAGUGCAUUUCUUUUUCAGGAAACAAAACAAAAACAAAGCAGGAGUAUGUCAUGAAUUACAUCAACGUCUGCAAACCGAAAUGUUGGGUUGGUAAUAAAAUGAAAUAAAACUUAUACCUAUAUCUAUAUAAACAGUUCUAUCUAUAAACACAUUUCUUAACUGAGAGACCUGGAAGAUGUUGUUAAAAACUUUGCUUUUUUAGAAGUGUUUCCAAGAGGAAGAUAAUUUCUUUUAUCAAGAAACAGGUGCUGUACAGGGCAAUCCGUGACUCCGUUAGCAUCACCCAAACCCAGGCAGUCAGCACAGCAUGGGCAUGAGGGGCUGUCAGCAUACUGGAGUGCUUCCUGCUGCCCCAGGACAGGGAGACAGUGGCUGCAGGUGAGGGCAAAGCAGCAGGAGUCAGGCUGUCGUGGAUGGAACAUGCGUAUCAUUAUAGCAGGUAAAGAGAUGAGUGUCACAGUGGUCCUUAAAACACAGAUGAAAUAUUUAUUUUCUUACAAAAGGUUUAUUGCGUAUCUUGCUGUAUAAGUGUGUGUAAGCAUGAGGCAGAGAAGAAGGAUCCAUUCUUGUAGGAGCUUUGCAGGUGGAGUGCUCUUCGUGGAAGCCAAAAGGAAGACAGUCUGCUGCCUCUCCUCCUCCCUCUGCAGUGGCUACGUGUGUUGGUCUCUCUGGUCUCUGGCCAUCACCCACUGAGCAGCUCCUGCCUGCAUUGGGUACCACCUCUGCUGCCACCCAGGCUGGGACCCCAAAGCACAGAUGUGCAACAUGGAAGGAAAGAUGAAAGAAGCCCCCCAGAUGAUCUCUGUAUGUGUGUGUAGGGGUGUUUAAGGUGCAAGGGGAUUCUGUUAUCAUCGCAGUUUUUAAUUUGGACGUGUCAAGUCUGUUGAGUUCUCGUUUUAACCAUAUCAGUUCACCCAUUCCUGGCUAAAACCUGGACAUGAGGAGCUGCAGUGCUGUUAUUCUGUUGCUUGUGCUGUAUCGGUCAUGUGCUUUUCAUCUGCAGCUUUCUUAGGCUCACUCUGUGGGAGGGGGUGCAGGGGGACGAGCAUCUGUGACUGCCAGUUAGUUGCAUGGUGACUUUGGUGCCCUCUAUGCACUGCGGAGAUCUGUGCCAAGCUGAAAACUUCAGUGGAGUGUUUCUUUUAUUUUUCCUUUUUUACUUCAUUAAAAAAUAUGCAAGCUUAAAAAAAAAAAAAAAAAAAAA